rnacentral:lncRNA from 1 species
CAGGAAGCACUCCAUGUAAACCUACUGUUUAAUUGGAUAUUGUACUCAAAGGUGCUUCUCUAAAUGAGCCAGUGAAAACCCAAGUGGGCGUUGGAUAAUACUUAACAGAUAGGGUUGCAUAGUUUCAGUGUAACGGUGCCUCUGUGGGUUACAGCACCAUGGUCAAAACUGGAAAAAUAGUUUCUUAGAAACGAAUAAAGGCAAACUAUGGGAAAAUGGUCAUGGAAGGCUCUCUCACUAAGAAGAAGAAAACUCAGAAUGUCUUGUUAUUAGCAACAUAGAUCUCCAACUAAAGGGCUUACUCAUCCCUGCACUUGUGAUGUCUGCAUGGAGAUGAAACAGAGAUUCAAAAGGGUCAGGUCACUGGCUCCAGGUCAACUCUACUACUAAACAGAAAAGCAAGGACCAAAAUUCAGAUCUUUGUGACCCUCAAUGCCACUAUGCCAUGCGAUGAUGCCUGCCUCUUUUAGAGGCCAACUAAUAGGCCAACUUGAUUUUCUUGAGGAAUGGCCGAAUGGAAGUUGAAUGGUUGAAGGUGACUGGCAAACAGAGAAACAAGGCACCAAGAACUGGCUAUUUCCAAACGUGGGCAAUCAGCUUCUGAAUGAAUAGUUCAGAAUGAUGCAGCUCUGGAUGUUGGAAAGGACAAUUCCGGCGUUUUACUCUUCUGACCAGUUUCUUCGUUUUCAUAACUCUACUUGAAGAACAUAUGAUGUUUGCCAGUGUCUGACAUUACGGACCUCACAGCUUACUGAAUCUGAAAACAGGAGAUAGAGAUGGAAAGGAAAGCCUCAGGAACUUGUUGCAAUAGGGACUGCCAGGUCCCGUUGCACUAUUGGUGGAAGAGAGGUCCACACGGUGCCUACGAUAAGCGAUUUGUUCGUAUCUAUCCAGACUGCAGGUGCAUACAGCCACUCAUCCUCAAAUGCCAUCCUCAGGAGUUUAUGCUGCACACAGACUGGCACAUGUGCAGGAAGACAUAGUGCAGGGCUACGUGCUACAACAUUGUUGGUGACAGCAACAUAUUGGAAGCAACCUGAAUUUUUGUUAAUAGAGGAUUGGCUACAUAAAUGAUGCUAAUCUAUACAACUGGAGUACUAUGAUGCCAUAAAAAAGAAUGUACAAGGUCUUUACGUUUGGAAAGAUCUCUAAGAUAUAAUGACCUGAACCUCAGGAGAUCUGGAGUAUGUGCUGAAUUCUACUGGGAACUGAGCCCUCUGAAUAUUAUUAUUGUUUUGCUAAUACUUUUUGCUGGAAAGUACAUCAAACCAGGAUGUGUUGUACCUCUUGCUUUGCCAGACUAUUUAAAAGCAAAAGUGACCAGAUAUCCAACUUAAGGCUGAUCCAGGUUUUUCAUGAUCUAGCCAGGGGAGACAAACCUUCCAGGAAAGUCUCUAGCGAAGGCCAAGGAUUUUAGAAAGUAUCUGUGAACAAAGAAAUGCAAUGUUAGUGGGCUAAUUUCCAUAAUCAAAUGAAGCUGAUGCAAGUGCUUUGUGAAUUGAUGCCCAUCAACGAGAGACUGGAUAAAGAAAAUGUGGCACAUAUACGCCAUGGAAUACUAUGUAGCCGUAAAAAUGAACAAGUUCAUGUCCUUUACAGGGACAUGGAUGAAGCUGGAAAUCAUCAUCCUCAGCCAAUUAACCCAGGAACAGAAAACCAAACACCACAUGUUCUCACUCAUAAGUGGGAGCUGAACAAUAAGAACACGUGAACACAGGGAGGGAAACAUCACAUAGCAGGGCCUGUUGGUGGGCCGGGGGCAAGGGAAGGGAGAGCAUUAGGACAAAUAUCUAAUGCAUGCGGGGCUUAAAACCUAGAUGACGGGUUGAUAGGUGCAGCAAACCACCAUGGCACACGUAUACCUGUGUAACAAACCUGCACAUUCUGCACAUGUAUCCCAGAACUUAAAAAAAAAAAGAAAUGCUUUGUGAAUUAGUCAGGUUCACUGAUGGGAGCUUUGGUCCUGGCACCUGAGGACUGAGCUGGGGGAACCCACACCCAGGCUGCCCAAACACACAGAGGCAGGAGAGGUCAAGGGGCAUCUCGUGGGUGUGGAGUUUUGGACACGGUAUUGCCAUUGUCAGACAUGUGGCUAAGCCUGCAAGGAUGAGAGAGGAAGGAGGAAACCAGCUCCUCUCAACCCUGCAUCAGCCUGAGUGCUUUCAAUCUCUCUCAACCCUUCUCCUCUCUUUUCUCUUUUCUCCUUCCCUCCUUCCCUGAUGGUUUGCCAGGAAGCACAGAAUAAUGGAGUUCAGUGUUACUCAAGGGGCAGUCACCUGCACAGUCAUUACCGGAAUGACGUGUUUCAUCAGAUGUUUCAAAUCCCGAUUCUUGGGGCCUGCUCUAAACCUGCCUACCAAGGCUCUAGGGGCGAGGCCUGGGGACCUGCAUUGUUUGCAAACACCCACAGGUGAUUCUUACAUGCACGAAGCCAGGGAAGCAUUGAUAGAAAAGGUCUUAGACCAGCAGCCAAAAAACCCAAGUUCAAAUCCAUUUACUACCUGGGUGGUCUUGGGCAAGUUACUUAUUAAUUCCCGGCAUGGGAGUCAAUACUACUUUAUAGGAAUUUUUUAUAAGUUAUAGGAGAUACGCUGUUAUGUUAUAGGAGUUAUUUUUUUCUCUUUGAAGAUUAAAAGAGACAAAACAUAUGACAAGGCUGGCAAACAUUGAGCUCUUGCUACAUAGUAGUACACAGUGCCCUAGAGAGUUAGCAAAGGGACGGUGAGCUCACAAAAAUCUUUGUAGGCCUCAGGAUAUAUAUAUUUUGCAGUGACUUUCAAGGCUGAUCUAACUCUCUUUGGAUGAACACAGAGCAAGGAGACUUGCCCACUGAGUGACUUUACUAUACCCCCAGGCCUUACUAACUUGCCCAGGAGUGGGGAAUAUAGUGCUAGAAGGAAGCCAAAGCAAUAAAGAGACACUUUCAGAAAAGCAGGCACUGCAAAGACAACCAUUCCAGCUGGAAGAGCAUGUGGUGGGAGUGGCGUCCUCUCAGACAUGAUCCUCUGCAGGGCUCAUGGGCUCAAAGUCACAGGUUCUCACCAAGGGUGAUGAUUUCCCACAGGGAGCAUCUAGCAACGUCUGGAGACAUUUUUGUCACAGGGUAGGGAAAGGGGGUUGCUACUAGCAUGCAGUGAACAGAGGCCAGAGAGGCUGCUAAACAUCCUACGGUACACUGGACAGUCUUCCACAACAGAAAACUGUCUGGCCCCAAAUGUUCAUGGUUUCAAGGCUGAAAAACACUGCUCUAAGCUAAUGCAGAAGACUUAGUCAUGGGUGAUAGAAGGAGGCCCCUAGGUGGCUACAAACCUCUGAGGGACAGCCUUCCGCUGUGGUGUUGCAAAGUCUCCCAGUUGCACAAGGUCCUGGCGUCCUGCUCAUUGGUGGAUCACCAUUAACCACCUUGCACGUCACAUGUUCAACAUAGCUAGUUUCCCACCCAUUCUUAACGAUGAUAAAUCAGGAAAAGCAUUCUUAGAACACUAGAAAAGCAGAAGUGUGGCUCUCUACAGGGCAGCGGGGAGGUUGCCUCACUCCUAGAAGAUGUCUUGUUUUUACCAAGAGGGUAGAGGGAUGAGAGGAGCUGGAAGACCACGCUGAGGAGCCACGUCCAGACACAUGAAACGAACCUCACAGCCCCACAAGGAUGCCGGGGAGGGCACUCAGUGCUUGGGAUCAGAGCCACGUGGCCACUGGUUUCCGAUGCCCCUUUGCUAGUAUCUGGCUUCCGUGAUUCCCUUGCCUUCAUUUUGUGGCUCUCUCCUGACACUGCCGGCUGAGUGUCUUAGUUAACCAGUAAUCUGGCUUUUCUCCCUCCACUUUGAUCUUCCUGUCUCUGCCUGUCUCCUCUUUCCUGGCAUGGCAUGUGCUCUCGGGCUGUACCUCUGGUAGUGAAUCUCUGGCUGCCCUGGACUCCUGCUGUGCACACUGCCCUGUGUGCAGGUCUGGAUGCCUGGUGUUCCUUCUCAGUGCACCGCCCGAUCCCCUGGGAUCUCUUCACCAUUUUCAUGCAUGGUGCCACCCCACGUGCAGGGCCAGCUUCAUGGCACGUCACCUGUGUGCUUGCAUAGGACUUGGUGCUCAGAAGGACUUCUUGAUGGGUUUCAUGCUCUGCGGCCACCGUAUUAAAAUUGUAAUAAUUUCCUCUUGAAACUUGUAUUUUGUAAGUGACUUCUGAUGAGACAGCAUGGAAUGAGCAGAAACACAGGAGAUACGUGUGCCUGUCCUUUCUUGUCACCCUAUUCACAUGGAGCAUUCGCCAUGAACUCAGAAUUCUGGUGUAUUCACAAUGUGUGGGAGUUCAUGAAGCUUCUAAGUGACUCCCAAGUGUGUUUUGUCUAUGAUGAGUUAGCUGGGGAGGGGGAGGGACACUGACAGCCCUGAGAGGCCACACUUUCCAUUUGAAAACCAAAACUUGCUUCAAACACAAAGGCAGCAGUGGUAUUCUAAGAAACACAUAUGACCAAGGAAACUUGGUUUGACCUUUCUUACUCAUGUUACUUCUUUGCAUUUGCAAACAACUUAAACUGAAAAUGAAGACACAGAAAGAAAUAGAAAGAUAAGGCAACCCAUAGGCCUUUUUUAAAUUCUUCCUUACUUGUCAGUAAGCCAAAGGUAGAGAGCAUUGAUAGAACGUGCAUGUAUCAGGCCGGGCACGGUGGAUUACGCCUGUAAUCCCAGCACUUUGGGAGGCCGAGGUGGUGGAUCACCUGAGGUCAGGAGUUUGAGACUAGCCUGGCCAACAUGGCAAAACCCUGUCUCUACUAAAAAUACAAAAAUUAGCAGGGUGUGGUGCCGGGUGCCUGUAAUCCCAGCUACUCGGGAGGCUGAAGCAUGAGAAUCAUUUGAACCCAGGAGGCAGAGGUUGCAGUGAACUGAGAUCAUGCCACUGCACUCCAGCCUGGGUGACAGAGAGGGACUCUGUCUCAAAAAAAAAAAAAAAGAAUGUGCAUUAUUGAGAAGCGAAAUAAAAGCAUUGAAUUAGUUUUGUGCAGCAUUUUCCACUGUUCUGGUAAGAAUGAAAUAUGCAAAUUGCAUCAUUUGGAACAAUUUAGCAUACAAAUUAAAUGCUCUUAUAUUUUCGUUUAAAGCUGGCUUUGCACAAUAUAAAGAUGAAUGGUAAGAUUCAUGCUAACAAUUUAAAAUUUUAAUUUUCCUUUACUUAGAGUGGCAUUAAAUAGCGAAUAAGAAUGAUUUUAAAAGCCUUGUGACAAGUCAAAAGAGAGACUGCAGAAGAAAAAAAGCGGCUUUUAUUUUAGUACCUUUCACAGCAGAGGUUGUUUUUGUUCCUGCUUUUGAAAAAGGGCUCCUACAUUUUCGGUUUGCACUGGCAAACCUUUUAAUGAAACAGUAAAGCAAAGUUCCUUACAUUAAAAAGGAGUCAUUUUUAAUCUCCCAGUCUACAUAGACCCAAUUUUCAUUUUAACAAGUUUC